AGCGAACGCUGGCGGCAGGCUUAACACAUGCAAGUCGAACGGGCGUAGCAAUACGUCAGUGGCAGACGGGUGAGUAACGCGUGGGAACGUACCUUUUGGUUCGGAACAACACAGGGAAACUUGUGCUAAUACCGGAUAAGCCCUUACGGGGAAAGAUUUAUCGCCGAAAGAUCGGCCCGCGUCUGAUUAGCUAGUUGGUGAGGUAAUGGCUCACCAAGGCGACGAUCAGUAGCUGGGUCUGAGAGGAUGAUCAGCCACACUGGGACUGAGACACGGCCCAGACUCCUACGGGAGGCAGCAGUGGGGAAUAUUGGACAAUGGGGGCAACCCUGAUCCAGCCAUGCCGCGUGAGUGAUGAAGGCCCUAGGGUUGUAAAGCUCUUUUGUGCGGGAAGAUAAUGACGGUACCGCAAGAAUAAGCCCCGGCUAACUUCGUGCCAGCAGCCGCGGUAAAGUGUGACUG
rnacentral:rRNA from 1 species